rnacentral:rRNA from 1 species
GACGAACCGUGCGAACGUUAUUCGGAAUCACUGGGCUUAAAGGGCGCGUAGGCGGGCCGCCCGGUCCGGGGUGAAAUCCUCCAGCUCAACUGGAGAAGUGCCUUGGAUACCGGCGGCCUCGAGGGAGGCAGGGGCGUGCGGAACUUCGGGUGGAGCGGUGAAAUGCGUAGAUAUCCGAAGGAACACCGGUGGCGAAAGCGGCGCGCUGGACCUCUUCUGACGCUGAGGCGCGAAAGCCAGGGGAGCAAACGGG